rnacentral:rRNA from 1 species
GGCGACGGGUGAGGAACACGUGAAGAAUCUCGCCCUCCACUUUGGGAUAACACCGGGAAACCGGUGCUAAUACCGAAUAUUGAAACAUAAGUGGCAUCACUGAGUUUUGAAAGAAUUUCGGUGGAGGAUGACUUCUCGGCCUAUCACCUAGUUGGUGAGGUAAUGGCUCACCAAGGCAACGACGGGUAGCCGGCCUGAGAGGGCGACCGGCCACACUGGGACUGAGACACGGCCCACACUCCUACGGGAGGCAGCAGUGGGGAAUAUUGGGCAAUGGAGGAAACUCUGACCCACCGACGCCGCGUGCGGGAUGAAGGCCUUCGGGUUGUAAACCGCUUUCUGUAGGGAAGAAGCGAAAGUGACGGUACCUACAACAGAAGCACCGGCUAACUAUGUGCCACCAGCCGCGGUAAUACAUAGGGUGCAGCCGUUGUCCGGAAUUAUUGGGCGUAAAGAGCUCCUAGGUCGUUUGUUACGUCGGAUGUGAAAACCUGAGGCUCAACCUCAGGCCUGCAUUCGAUACGGGCAAACUAGAAUUUGGUAGGGGAGACUGGAAUUCCUGGUGUAGCGGUGGAAUGCGCGCAUAUCAAGAGGAAC